AAAGAACGCUGGCGGCAUGCCUAACACAUGCAAGUCGAACGAGACCUUCGGGUCUAGUGGCGCACGGGUGCGUAACGCGUGGGAACCUGCCCUUAGGGUCGGAAUAACUCCCCGAAAGGGGUGCUAAUACCGGAUAAUGUCUUCGGACCAAAGAUUUAUCGACUUUGGAUGGGCCCGCGUUGGAUUAGCUAGUUGGUAGGGUAAAAGCCCACCAAGGCGACGAUCCAUAGCAGGUCUGAGAGGCUGAUCAGCCACGCUGUGACUGAGACACGGCCCAGACUCCUACGGGAUGCAGCAGUGGGGAAUAUUGGACAAUGGGCGAAAGCCUGAGCCAUCAAUGUCGCGUGAGCGAUGAAGGCCUUAGGGUUGUACAGCCCUUUUACCCUGGAUCAUAAUGACAGUACCGUGAGAAUAAUCUCCGCCUAACUCCGUG
rnacentral:rRNA from 1 species